rnacentral:lncRNA from 1 species
GCAGUCUUCACAGCUCUGGCACUCAGGUUGCAGUGAGAUCCAGGGAGAGCCAGAAGUGAGGCGCCCAGAGAAGUGUUCACUUGUGGCUCGAAGUCCAGGUGUGAUACUGCAUGAAAACCCCCCGAUUUGGCCAUCCAGAGCAUGGUAAUCAAGAAACGCCUAGAUGUUUCCAAAAAUGGAUUGGGUGUCCCUCCAAGUGUUCAUGAAAAGGUUGAAUUUCCUCUUGGUGGGGAGUUACAGAGGAGAUUAGCAGAUCAGGCUGAAUUAGGGCCUCACUGUGUUACCCAGGCUGGAGUGCAGUGGUGCAAUCACAGCUCACUGCAGCCUCGACUUCGCAGGCUUAAGCACAUCUCCCACCUCAGUUUCCCAAGUAUCUGGGACCACAGGGACAUGGAUGAAGCUGGAAACCAUCAUCCUCAGCAAACUAACACAGGAACAGAAAACCAAACACCGCAUGUUCUCACUCGUAAGUGGGAGUUGAACAAUGAGAACACAUGGACACAGGGAGGGGAACAUCACACACCGGGGCCUGUCAGGGAGUGGGGGGCUAGGGGAGGGAGAGCAUUAGGACAAACACCUAAUGCAUACGGGGCUUAAAACCUAGAUGAUGGGUUGAUGGGUGCAGCAAACCACCAUGGCACAUGUAUACCCAUGUAACAAACCUGCACAUUCUGCACAUGUAUCCUAGAAUUUAAAGUAAAAUUAAAAAGUAAAUAAAUAAAAUAAAUGUAUGAAAAUAAAUCACUGCAGCAACUAAAA